CCUGCUGAGUUUAAGCAUAUCAAUAAGCGGAGGAAAAGAAACUUACCAGGAUUCCCCUAGUAACGGCGAGCGAACCGGGAAAAGCCCAGCUUGAGAAUCGGGCGCCACCGGCGUUCGAAUUGUAGUCUGGAGAAGCGUCCUCAGCAGCGGACUGGGCCCAAGUCCCCUGGAAAGGGGCGCCAGAGAGGGUGAGAGCAUCGUCGUGCCUGGACCCUGUCGCACCACGAAGCGCUGUCUACGAGUCGGGUUGUUUGGGAAUGCAGCCCUAAUCAGGCGGUAAAUUCCGUCCAAGGCUAAAUACGGGUGAGAGGCCGAUCGCGAUCAAGUACCGCGAAGGAAAGAUGAAAAGGACUUUGAAAAGAGAGUCAAAGAGUGCUUGAAAUUGUCGGGAGGGAAGCGGAUGGGGGCCGGCGAUGCGCCCCGGUCGGAUGUGGAACAGCGAGAGCCGGUCCACUGAUCGGCUCGGGGAGUGGACCGACGCGGGUCGUGGCGGCGGCCCAAGCCCGAGCCUUUAAUACGCCUGUAGAGACGUCAUCGCCUCGAUCAUGUGAUCCAGCACGCGCCGUCUCGGCGUGCUUCGGUACCUGCGUGCUCCGGGCGUCGGCCUGCGGGCUCCCCAUUCGGCCCGUCUUGAAACACAG
rnacentral:ncRNA from 1 species